AUGCCGCAACUCAGGGGCGCGGGAGUCUUCGGCUACGCCGAAGGCACAACACCGGAGCCGGCCAAGUUCCUCACCACCAAAGAUAAGGAUGGGAAGGAAACCUCUGAGCCCAACCCUCUCCACCCUCCCUGGGUCCGGGAGGACCAGCAGGUGCUGGGCUAUCUCCUCAGCACCCUCACCAAGGAGGUCCUGCUGAAGGUGACCACGACCACCACGGCGAGCAUGCUCUGGACGACGCUCGCAGGUAUGUUCUCCUCGCAGUCUUUGAGCCGUGUCAAUAACAUACACACGGCCCUGCUCAGCGCG
rnacentral:rRNA from 1 species